UGAUAUGAACCGUUAUAACCGGCGAUUUCCGAAUGGGGAAACCCAGUGUGAUUCGUCACACUAUCAUUAACUGAAUCCAUAGGUUAAUGAGGCGAACCGGGGGAACUGAAACAUCUAAGUACCCCGAGGAAAAGAAAUCAACCGAGAUUCCCCCAGUAGCGGCGAGCGAACGGGGAGCAGCCCAGAGCCUGAAUCAGUAUGUGUGUUAGUGGAAGCGUCUGGAAAGGCGCGCGAUACAGGGUGACAGCCCCGUACACAAAAAUGCACAUGCUGUGAGCUCGAUGAGUAGGGCGGGACACGUGGUAUCCUGUCUGAAUAUGGGGGGACCAUCCUCCAAGGCUAAAUACUCCUGACUGACCGAUAGUGAACCAGUACCGUGAGGGAAAGGCGAAAAGAACCCCGGCGAGGGGAGUGAAAAAGAACCUGAAACCGUGUACGUACAAGCAGUGGGAGCACAGAGCAAUCUGUGUGACUGCGUACCUUUUGUAUAAUGGGUCAGCGACUUAUAUUCUGUAGCAAGGUUAACCGAAUAGGGGAGCCGAAGGGAAACCGAGUCUUAACUGGGCGUUAAGUUGCAGGGUAUAGACCCGAAACCCGGUGAUCUAGCCAUGGGCAGGUUGAAGGUUGGGUAACACUAACUGGAGGACCGAACCGACUAAUGUUGAAAAAUUAGCGGAUGACUUGUGGCUGGGGGUGAAAGGCCAAUCAAACCGGGAGAUAGCUGGUUCUCCCCGAAAGCUAUUUAGGUAGCGCCUCGUGAAUUCAUCUCCGGGGGUAGAGCACUGUUUCGGCAAGGGGGUCAUCCCGACUUACCAACCCGAUGCAAACUGCGAAUACCGGAGAAUGUUAUCACGGGAGACACACGGCGGGUGCUAACGUCCGUCGUGAAGAGGGAAACAACCCAGACCGCCAGCUAAGGUCCCAAAGUCAUGGUUAAGUGGGAAACGAUGUGGGAAGGCCCAGACAGCCAGGAUGUUGGCUUAGAAGCAGCCAUCAUUUAAAGAAAGCGUAAUAGCUCACUGGUCGAGUCGGCCUGCGCGGAAGAUGUAACGGGGCUAAACCAUGCAC
rnacentral:rRNA from 1 species